rnacentral:rRNA from 1 species
GGGGGGAAAAUUAAUAAAAGUUUAAAUAAUAAAAUAAAUUUUAAUAUUAAAAUAAAAUAAUGGGGGUUAGAGUAUUUUUAAUAGAAAAAAUUUAUAAAUUUAAAGUUAAAUAGUAUUGUAAGAGAAAUUUGAAAUAAAAUGAAAAUAAAUUAUUAAAAAAGAAAAUUUAAUUUAUUGUAUCUUGUGUAUCAGAGUUUAUUAAAAAAUUUUAUUAUUUAAUAAAAUCUCGAAUUUAAAAGAGCUAAUUAAUUAUAAAAGUUAAUAUAACAUAAUUAUUUUAAAUAAUUAAUUAGAAAUUAAAUGUUAAUCGUUUUUAAAUAUAUCUAGUUUUUUUAGAAAAAAAUUUAAUUUAAAAUUAAAAUAAUUUUAUAAUUUAAUAAAAAAAAAUUAUAAAAAUUUUAAAUUUAAUAUUUUGAGGGAUAAGCUUUAAAUUAAAAAAUUAUAAUAAAAAUGAUUUAAAUUAAAAUUUUUAAAAUUUAUAUUGUUUAAAAAUUAAAAUUUAUUAUAAAAAACUUUAAUAAAAAUAAAAUUUAAUUAAGAAAAAAUUUAAUUUUUUAUAUAAAAAAAAAUAAUUUUUAAUUAAUUAAAAUUAGUAAUAAUGAUAAAAUUAGUAUAAAUAUAAAUAAUAUAGUAAAUAAAAUAUAAAAUUAAUUUAAAGGAAUUCGGCAAAAUUUAAUGUUCACUUGUUUAUCAAAAACAUGUCUUUUUGAUUAUAAUUUAAAGUCUAAUCUGCCCACUGAUUUAUUAAAGGGCUGCAGUAUUUUGACUGUACAAAGGUAGCAUAAUCAUUAGUUUUUUAAUUGAAAACUUGUAUGAAGGAUUUAAUGAAAUAUUAACUGUCUCUAAAUUAUUAUUAAAAUUUUAUUUUUUAGUUAAAAAGCUAAAAUAAAUUUAAAAGACGAGAAGACCCUAUAGAGUUUUAUAUUUAAUUUUAUUUUAAAAAUAUAUAAAAAUUAAUAUUAAAUAAAAUUAAAUAUUGUAUUGGGGUGAUAGAAAAAUUUAAUUAACUUUUUUUAAAUUAUAUACAUAAAUAAGUGAAUAAAUGAUCCAUUUAUAAUGAUUAUAAGAAAAAAUUACCUUAGGGAUAACAGCGUAAUAUUUUUUUUUAGUACAAAUAAGAAAAAGAGUUUGCGACCUCGAUGUUGGAUUAAGAUAAAAUUUAAAUGCAAAAGUUUAAAAUUUUGAUCUGUUCGAUCAUUAAAAUCUUACAUGAUCUGAGUUCAAACCGGUGUAAGCCAGGUUGGUUUCUAUCUUUAAAAAAUUAAAAUAUUUUA